UACAGAGGGUGCAAGCGUUAAUCGGAAUUACUGGGCGUAAAUCGCGCGUAGGUGGUUCGGUAAGUUGAAUGUGAAAUCCCCGGGCUCAACCUGGGAACUGCAUCCAAAACUGCCGAGCUAGAGUAUGGUAGAGGGUGGUGGAAUUUCCUGUGUAGCGGUGAAAUGCGUAGACAUAGGAAGGAACACCAGUGGCGAAGGCGACCACCUGGACUGAUACUGACACUGAGGUGCGAAAGCGUGGGGAGCAAACAGG
rnacentral:rRNA from 1 species